AAUCUUAUUUUAAUUACCAGUAAAGUACUAUUCAUUUAUAAUAGUAUUUACAAAUAUAAUUACAAAUAAAUAUUAUAAAAUGUAAAACAGUCAAUCAAUAUCAUUCUUAAUAAUUUAAUACAUGUAACGAAACGCUCUGCUAACGGUACCGAAUAAAAAGAUAACCGCGCAUCGCUCGCGCCCGGCUACCCUCGCAUUGUCAAAUAUUAGUAGGAGACUCCACGACUCCGCGACGUCACAUUCCAACCGCCACCGACGCAACAACUGGUCGAGCUCUGAUUUUUAUAAAUCCUCGUUUAAAUAGUGGAUAAUAUAUUUAUUUUAUUUGCCUGAGUGCUGCAAUAAACUUAUAAGUGAUAAUUACAUAGUACUAAAUAAUACCUAGUUAUUCCGUGCAGCAGAAACCCCUAAAUUUGGGGAACUACGUUCGGGCUAAAUCCCUAACCGUCGGUCGGCCGACCAAGAAGAAUAUAUACCUGCUAAUCACCCCCGUGAAGAAGGUCAUCCCAGCACAAAUCCCACGUACACACGGCUGGAGAUACCAUUCCGAGGGAAGUGCGGUCAGGUGUUAGAUUUGACGGAAUCGAACUUAUUUGGCCCGGUAUUUUUUUAAAUUAAUAAACUUAUUUUUUUUAACUGGA